AUAUAUAGGGGGUUUUAUUGUUUUUUCUAGAAUUUAGUCAGGUCUACGUCAGCUUAGCUAGUUUUAUCAACCCAAAUAAGGAGUCUCUGUGAAAAUACUUUCUUAAUAACUUAUCAAACUUCUUAAAUUUAUAUCCCCAAAUACAUAUUUCAUUAACAACUAAAGGGUAUUUGCAACUUCGUUAUCUAAAACUGAACUUCCUUAAUUUUUUCCUGACUGAUUCGAGUUUGAGUUCGAGUGUUACCUUCGCUGGCCCGCAGGAGUGCCGUGCCGUGCAGGUUGACUGGCAAUAUCAAUCAAAAAACGAGUACGAAUCCGUUUGCAAAAUUAUUCAAAUUUUGAAAUAUCUGGAAACGAGCAGCAAGUGCAUUUGAAAGCGAUAACAAAAAACAAACGCACAUGCCAAACAGCAAUAACAGCAACAACAGAGAAAAUAUUCAAGUAAAAAGAGCGGACGAGACAUGAAAACAGGUCUUGGUGGGAAUCCGUAAACGAAAUCCCCAAAACUCAGAGAUGAGACUGGCGAGGCUGCUGCUGCUGUGUGGUCCUCAGCUGGGGUCUGGGUGGAUUUUCUUGGUUUUCUUGGUUUUAAUUAACAACUUUACAGCACAUUUCAAGCGGUGAAACUUUCGGGGCGUUGAAUGGCUGCGAUCCGCCUAUUAACAUAAGACGUUCGAUCUCCAGUCGCUCCUUUCCUAUAUGGCCCAGUCAUAUAAAAUGCACAGUGAAAAUUAACACGCUUUUCGGUUCACGCCGCAUCGGAAGUCUCUCAGAAAUUCGGACCCACCACAGCGUUUGUCAUCAUCCAAAAUAUGCAAAUUGAUUUCGAACUCUCUUCAGAGUUUUCUCCUCCCCCCAUACUCGUAUAUAUCCCCUGCGAUUGCCCCCCUCAUUUACGCAUCUUUUCUCGUCUCUGUUGUUUGUCAAACUCAUCAUAUUUUUACGGGUGUUAUGGAUUUAUGCGGAAAUGUGAUAAAAAUUUGUUGUUGAUCUUCCUCCAGCCUUAGGUUUAUGCUUGUGUGAACUAAUAAUUGACUAUGGCUAAUGCGUCAGAGGAGGCUGAAGCUAUUAUCGAGCAGCAUUUAGACUAACUGGAACCAAACCACCCAAAUCAAGCAAUCAGCACCUCUUUGCUUCGACGCAAUUCGAGUCCAGAGAAAUGAGAACCCAGCCAGCCACAGAAACUGAACCACACCUUCCACACUGCAACUUACUAGCAUAAUUACGGCGAGGACUGCGAGGAAAAUAACAAAGCCAAAUACGAGCGAUGAAAAUACUGGAGAAGAGAAAACAAAGCGAAACAAAACGAAAAAACAAAGCGAAACGAAGAAACCAAAAAUACUAAACAAAUAAUAUUUUAUUUGGACUAAACUAGUGGCGAUGGAGAUGUGUGUCCCGAUUCCAGGUGCUAAGUGAGGAAGUAAACGUUGUCAAGGAAAGUCAACACAAAAAAGAAAACCCUCAAAAGUGAAUGGAGAACACGAAGGCGCCGCCAUCGCUGGGAAAAAUAUAACUUCGAAGCUAUUCAAGGAAGAGAAUCUAAAGAUUUGACAGAGAAACAGAGAUUUUUUAGAGUCUAGAAAUUUACGAUAUGAUAAUAAAUCAAAACGAAAAAACCAAAAAAGUAACAAAACUCCCGAUGCCCUAAUUCAUUUUUUAUUGAGGUGCACUGGCGAAGGAGAAUAAUCAAUAAUCAGACACACAGUUGGAAAUCAGGACACCCAUAAAAAAAACAAGAACCUCUCCCGACCGACUCUCAUCUAAAUAAAAUUUAAUGUUUAUAUGGCGCACACACCUCCAAUUUAAUGUUCGUCUUCGUUUCGAGGGAAAGACAAAGGCUGUUGGCCUAACAAUGGCAAGUCCUUUUCUCCUUCGUUUGCCCCGCUCCUUUGAGCCUUCAUCUCUUGGCUUGUUUAGUGGAUGAUAAAUUGCUGCCGUGUGUGAGAGUCUCCCUGGGCAUGGAUCAUGGAUCCUACAUGUCCUACCACCACCAGCAAUUGUUAUGAUUUGUUUAUGCCUUUUUG